UGGGGAAUUUUGGACAAUGGGCGAAAGCCUGAUCCAGCAAUGCCGCGUGUGUGAAGAAGGCCUUCGGGUUGUAAAGCACUUUUGUCCGGAAAGAAAUCCUUGGCUCUAAUACAGUCGGGGGAUGACGGUACCGGAAGAAUAAGCACCGGCUAACUACGUGCCAGCAGCCGCGGUAAUACGUAGGGUGCAAGCGUUAAUCGGAAUUACUGGGCGUAAAGCGUGCGCAGGCGGUUUGCUAAGACCGAUGUGAAAUCCCCGGGCUUAACCUGGGAACUGCAUUCGUGACUGCAAGGCUAGAGUAUGGCAGAGGGGGGUAGAAUUCCACGUGUAGCAGUGAAAUGCGUAGAGAUGUGGAGGAAUACCGAUGGCGAAGGCAGCCCCCUGGGCCAAAUACUGACGCUCAUGCACGAAAGCGUGGGGAGCAAACAGGAUUAGAUACCCUGGUAGUCCACGCCCUAAACGAUGUCAACUAGUUGUUGGGGAUUCAUUUCCUUAGUAACGUAGCUAACGCGUGAAGUUGACCGCCUGGGGAGUACGGUCGCAAGAUUAAAACUCAAAGGAAUUGACGGGGUCAUAGCUGUUUCCU
rnacentral:rRNA from 1 species